rnacentral:rRNA from 1 species
CGCGUAGGCGGUCUGUUAAGUUCGGUGUGAAAGCCCUCGGCUUACCCGGGGAACUGCGCCGGAAACCGACAGACUCGAGUACCGGAGAGGAGGGUGGAAUUCCUGGUGUAGCGGUGAAAUGCGUAGAUAUCAGGAGGAACACCGGUGGCGAAGGCGGCCCUCUGGACGGAUACUGACGCUGAGGCGCGAAAGCGUGGGGAUCAAACA